rnacentral:rRNA from 1 species
GCAUAUCAAAAAGCGGAGGAAAAGAAACCAACAGGGAUUGCCUUAGUAACGGCGAGUGAAGCGGCAAAAGCUCAAAUUUGAAAUCUGGCACCUUCGGUGUCCGAGUUGUAAUUUGAAGAAGGUAACUUUGGAGUUGGCUCUUGUCUAUGUUCCUUGGAACAGGACGUCACAGAGGGUGAGAAUCCCGUGCGAUGAGAUGCCCAAUUCUAUGUAAAGUGCUUUCGAAGAGUCGAGUUGUUUGGGAAUGCAGCUCUAAGUGGGUGGUAAAUUCCAUCUAAAGCUAAAUAUUGGCGAGAGACCGAUAGCGAACAAGUACAGUGAUGGAAAGAUGAAAAGAACUUUGAAAAGAGAGUGAAAAAGUACGUGAAAUUGUUGAAAGGGAAGGGCUUGAGAUCAGACUUGGUAUUUUGCGAUCCUUUCCUUCUUGGUUGGGUUCCUCGCAGCUUACUGGGCCAGCAUCGGUUUGGAUGGUAGGAUAAUGACUAAGGAAUGUGGCUCUACUUCGGUGGAGUGUUAUAGCCUUGGUUGAUACUGCCUGUCUAGACCGAGGACUGCGUCUUUGACUAGGAUGCUGGCAUAAUGAUCUUAAGCCACCCGUCUUGAAACACGGACC